rnacentral:rRNA from 1 species
GCCCUUCGGGGUGGAUUAGUGGCGAACGGGUGAGUAACACGUGGGCAAUCUGCCCUUCACUCUGGGACAAGCCCUGGAAACGGGGUCUAAUACCGGAUAACACUCUGUCCCGCAUGGGACGGGGUUAAAAGCUCCGGCGGUGAAGGAUGAGCCCGCGGCCUAUCAGCUUGUUGGGUGGGGGUAAAUGGCCCUAACCAAGGCGGGAAGGACGGGGUAGGCCGGGCCUGGAGAGGGCGGACCGGGCCAACACUUGGGAAUUGAGAACACGGGCCCCAGAAUUCCUUACGGGGAGGGCAGCCAGUGGGGGAAUAUUGCCACAAUGGGCGGAAAAGCCCUGAUGCAAGCGAAGCCCGCGUGAAGGGAUGACGGCCUUCCGGGUUGUAAACCUUCUUUCAGCAGGGAAGAAGCGAAAAGUGACCGGUACCUGCAGAAGAAGCGCCGGGCUAAAUUACGUGCCCAGCAGCCCGCGGUAAUACGUAGGGCGCAAGCGUUGUCCGGAAUUAUUGGGCGUAAAGAGCUCGUAGGCGGCUUGUCACGUCGGAUGUGAAAGCCCGGGGCUUAACCCCGGGUCUGCAUUCGAUACGGGCUAGCUAGAGUGUGGUAGGGGAGAUCGGAAUUCCUGGUGUAGCGGUGAAAUGCGCAGAUAUCAGGAGGAACACCGGUGGCGAAGGCGGAUCUCUGGGGCCAUUACUGACGCUGAAGGACCGAAAGCGUUGGGGAGCGAACAGGAUUAGAUACCCUGGUAGUCCACGCCGUAAACGUUGGGAACUAGGUGUUGGCGACAUUCCACGUCGUCGGUGCCGCAGCUAACGCAUUAAGUUCCCCGCCUGGGGAGUACGGCCGCAAGGCUAAAACUCAAAGGAAUUGACGGGGGCCCGCACAAGCAGCGGAGCAUGUGGCUUAAUUCGACGCAACGCGAAGAACCUUACCAAGGCUUGACAUAUACCGGAAAGCAUCAGAGAUGGUGCCCCCCUUGUGGUCGGUAUACAGGUGGUGCAUGGCUGUCGUCAGCUCGUGUCGUGAGAUGUUGGGUUAAGUCCCGCAACGAGCGCAACCCUUGUUCUGUGUUGCCAGCAUGCCCUUCGGGGUGAUGGGGACUCACAGGAGACUGCCGGGGUCAACUCGGAGGAAGGUGGGGACGACGUCAAGUCAUCAUGCCCCUUAUGUCUUGGGCUGCACACGUGCUACAAUGGCCGGUACAAUGAGCUGCGAUGCCGCGAGGCGGAGCGAAUCUCAAAAAGCCGGUCUCAGUUCGGAUUGGGGUCUGCAACUCGACCCCAUGAAGUCGGAGUUGCUAGUAAUCGCAGAUCAGCAUUGCUGCGGUGAAUACGUUCCCGGGCCUUGUACACACCGCCCGUCACGUCACGAAAGUCGGUAACACCCGAAGCCGGUGGCCCAACCCCUUGUGG